rnacentral:rRNA from 1 species
GACGAACGCUGGCGGCGUGCCUAAUACAUGCAAGUCGAACGCAGUGGGGACGGGUGAGUAACACGUGGGUAACCUCCCAUCAGAGGGGAUAACACUUGGAAACAGGUGCUAAACCGAUACUGAUGGAUGGACCCGCGGUGCAUUAGCUAGUUGGUGAGGUAACGGCUCACCAAGGCCACGAUGCAUAGACGGGCUGGGAGGGUGAUCGGGCACACUGGCACUGUGAGACGGCCCAGACUCCCACGGGGGCGAGCGGUGGGAAGUGUUCGGAAAUGGGCGAAAGGCUGACCGAGCGACGGCGCGUGCGUGAAGGAGGUGUUCGGGGCGUAAAGCUCGUUAGUUUGGGAAGGGGUAUCUAGCGAAAAAGCCACGGCUAACUACGUGCCAGCAGCCGCGGUAAUUC